UACGUAGGGCGCAAGCGUUAUCCGGAAUUAUUGGGCGUAAAGGGCUCGUAGGCGGUUUGUCGCGUCGGGAGUGAAAACACCGGGCUUAACUCGGUGCUUGCUUUCGAUACGGGCAGACUAGAGGCAUGCAGGGGAGAACGGAGUUCCUGGUGUAGCGGUGAAAUGCGCAGAUAUCAGGAGGAACACCGGUGGCGAAGGCGGUUCUCUGGGCAUGUCCUGACGCUGAGGAGCGAAAGUGUGGGGAGCGAACAGG
rnacentral:rRNA from 1 species